GCCCAGAAUAUAAACUGGGAGGAAUUGACUGGGAGGUUCCAAUUGCUCCGGGAUGGUCUGGACGUCAAUCAGCGAGUGUUUAAAGACCUUAAUAUACAACAGACUGAAGAUUGACUCAUAAAUUCAUGGAAAUCCCACAAGCAUUUCAUAACUUCUUGCAGCAAUGCAAGCUUUAGGAUAAAGUGACUAUUUCACAGGAGUUACAAAAGUCACCACUUGAACCACUUUUACGCACAGAAAGUGGUUAUGCUAGGACAAACCUCCACACUACAACAUGCU